AGGUUGUCAAGAGUAUGCUUGAGCGUAUUGUGGACAAUGUGUGCAUGGCAGUUACCCUGAAAAACUUGCUCUAUUUUCAAGCCAACAGCUUCCAACGAGUCCAGCAGACACCCCAUGAUCCCCACUGCUGAUUCAUCUGGAUUUUCGACAAAGUCGAUCAUCUUAUUCACCACACCACAUUCUGGUGUGAAGAAUUGGACUGCCACUGGGAACAUCUUUCUGUUGCCUUUGUUGGAGGCAUCUGUCUGGAUGGAGAAAGGAGAUUUUUUUGGCAACCUUUGAGUCUGGCAAAAUCUUUGAGAAUUGUGGGUAGAGGUGAGGAGGGUGUUACUGUGAUCUGGCUCUGUGUGUCCCAUACACUUUAAGAGAGUGCUGGUCACAGACAUCUGGGAGACCCUUCUCCACACAACAUGUUUUUAGUUGUUAUGUUG